CAUUAUACACACACUGUCGCAACCUCGUGUGAAUUGACAAGUCGCCGCUAAGUAUUCUGUCUGCUCUUGCAAAAGCUACCUGACCGAAAUGACAAUGUCUUUGCCAAACCUUUUGUCGAGGUUCUUAGUAAAGAGAUUAUUGUUUUCGUCAAGCUAUUAUCGUCCAAAAAUGUUUUCCCAGCUUGACAUGCACACAACUGAGCGACUAGGUCACGGAGAAUACGAAUAUCAGGAUCCUACAUCGGAGGACCAAGUCGUCAACGUGGUGUACAUUACUAAACAUGGAGAAAGGAUACCAGUCAGAGGAAAAGUUGGUGACAAUGUAUUGUACUUGGCGCACAGGCACGGAAUUGAAAUGGAAGGUGCAUGUGAAGCUUCCUUGGCCUGUACGACUUGUCAUGUCUACGUAAAUUCUGAUCAUCGGGAAAAAUUACCCACAGCAGAAGACAAGGAAGAAGAUUUAUUAGACCUGGCUCCAUUUCUGAAAGAAAAUUCCAGAUUGGGUAGGCUUUGGCAGUAAACGAAAUUAAGAUAUCCAGAGUGGACAGAAAAAUUCCUUUACAGUAACACUCUUCAAAUUGAGGAUGUCAAAUAAUUCUGACUAAAGAAUUAAAUGGAUUAGAACUUGAACUUCCAAAAGCUACAAGAAAUUUUUAUGUAGAUGGUCACACUCCAACACCCCAUUAAAAAAAAGGGAAGAAUUGAAUCUCCUACAUGUUCAGAAUCCCGCUUGUAGCCACAUCAUAAUGUAUUGUAUAUAUAAUAUAUUGUACAUAUAAUGUAUAAUAAAAACCUUACCUUUUUUGAUAA
rnacentral:misc_RNA from 1 species